rnacentral:ncRNA from 1 species
UAAAAAUUUGAUUUUAGUUUUUAAAUUUAGUUUAUAUUUUUAUUAUAUAUAAAUUUUUGUGAUUAAAUUUAUUUAAAUAGUAAAUUUAUUAAUAAGAUUUAAUUUAAAGUAAUAAUUAGAUUUAUACAAUAAAAGUAAUUUUGAUAUAGAAAUUUAUAAGAGUAUUGAUAAAAUUUGUGCCAGCAAUCGCGGUUAAACAAGUGAUACAAUUAAAUUUUAUUUAAUAAUAAUAAAUAUGUAAUAAUUGAUAAUUUAAAUUUAAAUUUAUUAGGUGAAAUUAUAAAUUUAAAUAAAAUUAAAUAUUUUAGAUUAUGAGUUUAUGAAAUUUUUUUUAUUAAACUAGGAUUAGAUACCCUAUUAUAAAGAAUGUAAAUUAAAAAUAUUAGAGUAGUAAUAGUUAUGGUCUUGAAAUUUAAAAAAUUUGGCGGUAUUUUAGUCUAUUCAGAGGAACCUGUUCUAUAAUUGAUGAUCCACGAUUAAUUGUACUUAAUUUAAAAGUUUAUAUAUCAUCGUAGAUUGAAUAUCUUAAAAGAGUAUAAAAUAUUCAAAGUUUAAGAUAAAUAAAAGAAAUCAGAUCAAGGUGUAGCUUAUAAUUAAGAAGAAAUGGGUUACAAUAAAUUUAUUUAAAUGGAUAUUUUAAUUAAAAUUAAAAUUAAAAUUGGAUUUGAUAGUAAUAUAUUUAAGUUAAAAUAUAUGAUUUUAGCUCUAGAAUAUGUACAUAUCGCCCGUCGCUUUCAUCGAAUUUAAGUUGAAAUAAGUCGUAACAUAGUGGGUGUACCGGAAGGUGUACCUAGGUUGCA